UCAGGUUUGCAACAAGGACAAAAAACAGAACAACUUCAUAAGUCUUGUCUCGGAUAAUUCUGUGGAAAAACUGUCAUUUUAAAAUCCUGGUCAAACUAGGGUAAAUUUCAGAGGGUAAUUAAUAAAUCCCUAUUCUUUCAGCAAAUUUUAUUUCCUAUAUUUUAAAGGGUGGAGAAGGUUAAAGUAAAACUCCACCAGUAUACAUAGGAGCAGAUGUCCUUGUCUAUGGCUGUCACUUUCUGGGCUGUGCAGGAAGUCUUCCCUAUCAGGAACUGGAUCAACCAAGGAUGAAGUAACAGAGGCUGGAUUUAACCUCGACUUGAAACACACAAAAGAGAAAAAACAUAUGAAGGAAAAAAGAUUUUUCAAGACACUGGAUAUCAGGAGGCUGUGCUGGAAUGUUCUCCUUCAAAUGAUGAACUCAGGGAUCCAAGUUCCUCCCACUUUCUAGUUCUCUAUGAGGUCUUGUCUUGCAGCAAGUCAGUUGGGGAGAGAGUGCAAACCUUUACACUGCAUGUUUCUGGCCAGCACCGAAACAGAUCUAAGGGCACUUCUGCCUAUAUCUUACUGACAAAAACCUGAUCCUAUGCCUAGAUGCAGGGGGAGCACAGUAUGUAGUUGUGCUGUAUGCCCAGGAGGAAAAUAAAACAAUUUGGUAAAUACAGCAUUGUAUCUGCCACAAAUAUUACAAGUACUUUGUGUAACAGCAUCAGGAUCCACAGACUAAAACCAUGAUCCAUAUCUAACAAGAUAACACGGGUUUAAAAAAAUUCUAAAAACCAACUUGUAUCAAAAUGGCAAAAUAACAAAGAUAUGACUGAACAUCAACUAGUUAAAAUAUGGAUCGAAUGUGUAUGAAUUUGAGACAUUAACUGAAGUAUGAAAUCCAGGUUAAUUUAAGAUUUUCUCUCUGCACCAUUCAGACUAUCCUGAAAUAAUCGUAUUCAGUCUUAAUUGUUGCACCAGGAGAGCCACUGACUAAUGGGCACAGGCCUAAGGAUAAUAUAACUAAGAUGGAAAGAAAAUCUGAAUUUUUUCACAUUAUAAUUAGUUGAAAGAACUAGGAAAGUUUAUCCUGAAGGAACGAUAUAGGGGUGAAAAGAGAGUUGUCAUAAAAUAUUUGAGGGCAUCAUUUGAAACAGAAAUCAUACUUAUUUUUUAUGAUUCUUGAGAUUAGUAUAAGGACCUUUAGAAGGAAAAUGAGAGCUCAAAAUAAAGAAAAUCCUUUAUAAAUAAUUGGAGCAAUGGUUCCCAAAAUGUGAUUGAGGAACCUCAGGGACAAUCUGAGAUCUUAUCAAGGAAUCUGCAAGUUCACAACUUUAUUUAAAAUAAUACUAGGAUGUUAUUUGCCUUUUAGAUUCUCAUUUUCUUACCAGUGAACAGUGAAGUUCUCCAGAGGCUACUUGACAUGUCAAAUCACAAAAAAGAAGAUGUUAGAACCCCUUAUAGAGCAAGACA